rnacentral:rRNA from 1 species
UACGUAGGGUGCAAGCGUUGUCCGGAAUUAUUGGGCGUAAAGAGCUCGUAGGCGGUUUGUCGCGUCUGCUGUGAAAACUCGGGGCUUAACUCCGGGCCUGCAGUGGGUACGGGCAGACUAGAGUGCGGUAGGGGAGACUGGAAUUCCUGGUGUAGCGGUGAAAUGCGCAGAUAUCAGGAGGAACACCGGUGGCGAAGGCGGGUCUCGUGGGCCGAUACUGACGCUGAGGAGCGAAAGCGUGGGGAGCGAACAGG